AACGCGAAGAACCUUACCUGGGCUUGAACUACUCGUGGUAAGCCGAUGGAAACAUUGGCUGACCCGCAAGGGAGCGAGCAGAGGUGCUGCAUGGUUGUCGUCAGCUCGUGUCGUGAGAUGUUGGGUUAAGUCCCGCAACGAGCGCAACCCCUAUCUCAUGUUGCUAAUCCCGCAAGGGAUGCACUCUUGAGAAACUGCCUUCGAUAAGAAGGAGGAAGGUGGGGACGACGUCAAAUCCUCAUGGCCCUUAUGUCCAGGGCAACACACGUGCUACAAUGGCCGGUACAACGGGAAGCAAUACCGCAAGGUGGAGCCAAACCCUGAAAGCCGGCCUCAGUUCAGAUCGUGGGCUGCAACUCGCCCACGUGAAGGCGGAAUCGCUAGUAAUCGCGAAUCAGCAGGUCGCGGUGAAUACGUUCCCGGGCCUUGUA
rnacentral:rRNA from 1 species